rnacentral:rRNA from 1 species
UACAGAGGUCUCAAGCGUUGUUCGGAUUCAUUGGGCGUAAAGGGUGCGUAGGCGGCGCGGUAAGUCGGGUGUGAAAUUUCGAGGCUUAACUUCGAAACUGCAUUCGAUACUGCCGUGCUUGAGGACUGGAGAGGAGACUGGAAUUUACGGUGUAGCGGUGAAAUGCGUAGAUAUCGUAAGGAAGACCAGUGGCGAAGGCGGGUCUCUGGACACUUCCUGACGCUGAGGCACGAAAGCCAGGGGAGCAAACGGG